rnacentral:rRNA from 1 species
UACGGGGGGGGCAAGCGUUGUUCGGAAUUACUGGGCGUAAAGGGCUCGUAGGCGGCCAACUAAGUCAGACGUGAAAUCCCUCGGCUUAACCGGGGAACUGCGUCUGAUACUGGUUGGCUUGAAUCCGGGAGAGGGAUGUGGAAUUCCAGGUGUAGCGGUGAAAUGCGUAGAUAUCAGGAGGAAUACCGAUGGCGAAGGCAGGUCUCUGGGCUGACACUGACGCUCAUGCACGAAAGCGUGGGGAGCAAACAGG